rnacentral:tRNA from 1 species
GCGGCGUAGCUCAGUUGGUUAGAGCACAGGCUUCAUAAGCCUGGUGUCGCCGGUUCAAGUCCGGCCGCCG